rnacentral:rRNA from 1 species
UACGUAGGGUGCGAGCGUUAAUCGGAAUUACUGGGCGUAAAGCGUGCGCAGGCGGUUUUGUAAGCCGGAUGUGAAAUCCCCGGGCUUAACCUGGGAAUGGCAUUCGGGACUGCAAGGCUGGAGUGCGGCAGAGGAGACUGGAAUUCCUGGUGUAGCAGUGAAAUGCGUAGAUAUCAGGAGGAACACCGAUGGCGAAGGCAGGUCUCUGGGCUGACACUGACGCUGAUGCGCGAAAGCCAGGGGAGCGAACGGG